rnacentral:lncRNA from 1 species
AUGGAAAAAGCGAAAGAGUUCCAGUGCUUUAUUGACUAUGCCAAAACCUUUGACUGUGUGGAUCACAAUAAACUGUGGAAAAUUCUGAAAGAGAUGGGAAUACCAGACCACCUAACCUGCCUCUUGAGAAAUCUGUAUGCAGGUCAGGAAGCAACAGUUAGAACUGGACAUGGAAUGACAGACUGGUUCCAAAUAGGAAAAGGAGUACGUCAAGGCUGUAUAUUGUCACCUUGCUUAUUUAACUUAUAUGCAGAGUACAUCAUGAGAAACGCUGGACUGGAAGAAGCACAAGCUGGAAUCAAGAUUGCCAGGAGAAAUAUCAAUAACCUCAGAUAUGCAGGCGACACCACCCUUAUGGCAGAAAGUGAAGAGGAGCUAAAAAGCCUCUUGAUGAAAGUGAAACAGGAGAGUGAAAAAGUUGGCUUAAAGCUCAACAUUCAGAAAACAAAGAUCAUGGCAUCUGGUCCCAUCACUUCAUGGGAAACAGAUGGGGAAACAGUGUCAGACUUUAUUUUUGGGGGCUCCAAAAUCACUGCAGAUGGUGACUGCAGCCACGAAAUUAAAAGACGCUUACUCCUUGGAAGAAAAGUUAUGACCAACCUAGAUAGCAUAUUCAAAAGCAGAGACGUUACUUUGCCGACUAUGGUUUUUCCUGUGGUCAUGUAUGGAUUUGAGAGCUGGACUGUGAAGAAGGCUGAGUGCCGAAGAAUUGAUGCUUUUGAACUGUGGUGUUGGAGAAAACUCUUGAGAGUCCCUUGGACUGCAAGGAGAUCCAACCAGUCCACUCUGAAGAUCAACCCUGGGAUUUCUUUGGAAGGAAUGAUGCUAAAGCUGAAGCUCCAGUACUUUGGACACCUCAUGGAAAGAGUUGACUCACUGGAAAAGACUCUGAUGGUGGAAGGGAUUGGGGGCAGGAGGAGAAGGGGACGACCCAGGAUGAGAUGGCUAGAUGGCAUCAUGGACUCGAUGGACGUGAGUGUGAGUGAACUCCAGGAGAUGGUGAUGGACAGGGAGGCCUGGCGUGCUGCGAUUCAUGGGGUCGCAAAAAGUCGGACAUGA